rnacentral:pre_miRNA from 1 species
ACAAGGGAACGAGUGAAGCUGCCAGCAUGAUCUAGCUCCGGCUAACUUGAAACUUCAACCGAAAAAAAAAAAAAAACAAGAAAAGAAGAAGUGGUUAACCCUAGCUAGGUCAUGCUGCGACAGCCUCACUUCUUCCCUUU